ACGAACGCUGGCGGCGUGCUUAACACAUGCAAGUCGAACGGAAAGGCCCUGCUUUUGUGGGGUGCUCGAGUGGCGAACGGGUGAGUAACACGUGAGUAACCUGCCCUUGACUUUGGGAUAACUUCAGGAAACUGGGGCUAAUACCGGAUAGGAGCUCCUGCUGCAUGGUGGGGGUUGGAAAGUUUCGGCGGUUGGGGAUGGACUCGCGGCUUAUCAGCUUGUUGGUGGGGUAGUGGCUUACCAAGGCUUUGACGGGUAGCCGGCCUGAGAGGGUGACCGGCCACAUUGAGACUGAGAUACGGCCCAGACUCCUACGGGAGGCAGCAGUGGGGAAUAUUGCACAAUGGGCGGAAGCCUGAUGCAGCAACGCCGCGUGCGGGAUGACGGCCUUCGGGUUGUAAACCGCUUUCGCCUGUGACGAAGCGUGAGUGACGGUAAUGGGUAAAGAAGCACCGGCUAACUACGUG
rnacentral:rRNA from 1 species